rnacentral:rRNA from 1 species
UACGGAGGAUGCGAGCGUUAUCCGGAUUUAUUGGGUUUAAAGGGUGCGUAGGCGGGUUACCAAGUCAGCGGUAAAAUCGUGGAGCUCAACUCCAUCCAGCCAUUGAAACUGAUGAUCUUGAGUGGGCGAGAAGUAUGCGGAAUGCGUGGUGUAGCGGUGAAAUGCAUAGAUAUCACGCAGAACUCCGAUUGCGAAGGCAGCAUACCGGCGCCCGACUGACGCUGAAGCACGAAAGCGUGGGUAUCGAACAGG